GUACGCACACAAAACUGUUCGAUCAAAUGUCUCAAUGCUCUGCAAGCUUACUUCUUUGACCUUUUGCAUAAGAAGAAAAUAAUAGUUUCCAAUGUUCUUCCUAAAUUGGAUUACAAUGAUGGCCUUGCUGACAGCAGUGCGCCCAAUUUGAGACCUCUGCUUGGCAACUAGACAUGUCUUUUGUUUUAAAAAAAUUACUGUGAUGUCAAGUAAUGUGGUGGUUGCUUCUUGCAUGAUCUUUGUUUUUCAAAUGUAAGAGAACAAUAUGUAUAACUGGGUAUAUGCAACAAGUUAUUUGUUGAUACUCUGUAGUCCAUGAAUUAACAUAUGGUAAAGGGGAAAGUCAACCUUUGGUAAGAAUGUCACAAUAGAUAUGACGGACAACGCUAAAAUUGUUUGAUUAAUGCUUUUUGUCAAUUCAGUUUCUUCCAUUGUAUUUAUUUCAAUUGAAAUCAUGUUCUUUUGCUCUAUAAUAUGGUAUUUGAUUGUGCUCGAAGCAUUGAUCCCUCCUUUACCUUGCCAUGGGCUAGAACCUCAGCGGAUAACUACCAUCAAUCUGGGGGCAUUCCAAUAAAUGAAUCUUUUGAAACCUGCUUAAGGGCUGUUCAGAUCCUGCCUGCUGGUCUUGCAACUGAUGCAGUGCGAGAGUGUGAAGAGCUGAGAACUCAAGGUAUUGUUUUUAUUUGUUGGAAGAAUUCCAUUCUCUUAGCUCACCAAGGUUGGCCAGAUAACAGAAGCGGUUUAUCUAUCCGAUAUUUUCCUAGUGCUAUAAAAUAUGUUACCAAUAAUCAGACGUACUACAACAGCCGGGCCAGAGAAGCAGACAUUAUCAUCUGUUCUUGAUAUUCUAUUUUGUACAACAGUUUCUGCUGAAACAAUAAUUGAAUGCAAAAGCAAGUGAAACAUGGAAAUUUUACAUAUGCG